UACGGAGGGGGCGAGCGUUAUUCGGAAUUAUUGGGCGUAAAGGGCGCGUAGGCGGCCUUGUAAGUCAAAGGUGAAAUCCCUCGGCUCAACUGAGGAACUGCCUUUGAAACUGCAAGGCUUGAGGCCGGGAGGGGGUAGCGGAAUUCCCAAUGUAGCGGUGAAAUGCGUAGAUAUUGGGAGGAACACCAGUGGCGAAGGCGGCUGCCUGGACCGGUUCUGACGCUGAGGCGCGAAAGCGUGGGUAGCAAACAGG
rnacentral:rRNA from 1 species